UACGUAGGGAGCGAGCGUUGUCCGGAAUUACUGGGUGUAAAGGGAGCGUAGGCGGGAAGGCAAGUUGAAUGUCAAAUCUACCGGCUUAACCGGUAGCCGCGUUCAAAACUGUUUUUCUUGAGUGAAGUAGAGGCAGGCGGAAUUCCUAGUGUAGCGGUGAAAUGCGUAGAUAUUAGGAGGAACACUAGUGGCGAAGGCGGCCUGCUGGGCUUUUACUGACGCUGAGGCUCGAAAGCGUGGGGAGCAAACAGGAUUAGAUACCCCGGUAGUCCCUGAGCGGGCUGG
rnacentral:rRNA from 1 species